rnacentral:rRNA from 1 species
UACGUAGGUGGCAAGCGUUGUCCGGAUUUAUUGGGUUUAAAGGGUGCGUAGGCGGUCUUGUAAGUCAGUGCUGAAAUAUCCCGGCUUAACCGGGAGGGUGGCAUUGAUACUGGAGGGCUUGAGUAGAGUCGAGGUAGGCGGAAUUGACGGUGUAGCGGUGAAAUGCUUAGAUAUCGUCAAGAACACCGAUAGUGUAGACAGCUUACUAGACUCAAACUGACGCUGAGGGACGAAAGCUAGGGUAGCAAACCGG